rnacentral:piRNA from 1 species
UAAUUUCCAGUACCAUAUGAC